rnacentral:misc_RNA from 1 species
AAAGUGCGAUACGUAGUGUGAAUUGCAUACUCCUGUGAAUCAUCGAAUCUUUGAACGCAGCUUGCACCUCUCCGGAGGUAUACCUGUUUGGGCAUCCAAAGCCUAUCACGCACACCGCUGUGUGUACGUGGACGUGAGGCUCCCACGCGAGUGUGAGUCUUGAAAAGGGGAGAGCGACGGGCCGCAUAUCUGGCCGGACGGACAGCGCAGCCGGAAAGUGAGGAAGAUUCCCGCUGAGCGGCAGUGUUUGGAAGGACGGCGCGACAGAGAGCAGGCUACGGCUGAAGCGAGGAACACACGAGGUGUGCAUAUAAUGUACAUGGUGUGGACUCUGGAUCACGAGAGGAUCUCAAAUCAGGCAAGAGUACCCGCUGAACUUAA